rnacentral:rRNA from 1 species
UACGUAGGGUGCAAGCGUUAAUCGGAAUUACUGGGCGUAAAGCGUGCGCAGGCGGCUUUGCAAGACAGAUGUGAAAUCCCCGGGCUCAACCUGGGAACUGCAUUUGUGACUGCAUGGCUAGAGUACGGCAGAGGGGGAUGGAAUUCCGCGUGUAGCAGUGAAAUGCGUAGAUAUGCGGAGGAACACCGAUGGCGAAGGCAAUCCCCUGGGCCUGUACUGACGCUCAUGCACGAAAGCGUGGGGAGCAAACGGG